rfam:Glossina austeni unplaced genomic scaffold Scaffold425, whole genome shotgun sequence.
CCUUCGAUAGCUCAGUUGGUAGAGCGGUGGACUGUAGAAUUGAAUAAAAGUGAAAUAGUAAUCCAUAGGUCGCUGGUUCAAAUCCGGCUCGAAGGA